CUUAAGCAUAUCAAUAAGCGGAGGAAAAGAAACCAACAGGGAUUGCCCCAGUAACGGCGAGUGAAGCGGCAACAGCUCAAAUUUGAAAUCUGGCCCCCAGGGCCCGAGUUGUAAUUUGCAGAGGAUGCUUUUGGCGCGGUGCCUUCCGAGUUCCCUGGAACGGGACGCCAUAGAGGGUGAGAGCCCCGUCUGGUCGGACACCAAGCCAGUGUAAAGCUCCUUCGACGAGUCGAGUAGUUUGGGAAUGCUGCUCUAAAUGGGAGGUAUAUGUCUUCUAAAGCUAAAUACCGGCCAGAGACCGAUAGCGCACAAGUAGAGUGAUCGAAAGAUGAAAAGCACUUUGAAAAGAGGGUUAAACAGUACGUGAAAUUGUUGAAAGGGAAGCGUUUAUGACCAGACUUGGGCCCGGUGAAUCAUCCAGCGUUCUCGCUGGUGCACUUCGCCGGGCCCAGGCCAGCAUCAGUUCGCCGCGGGGGACAAAGGCUUCGGGAACGUGGCUCCCUCGGGAGUGUUAUAGCCCGUUGCGUAAUGCCCUGCGGCGGACUGAGGUUCGCGCUCCGCAAGGAUGCUGGCGUAAUGGUCAUCAGCGACCCGUCUUGAAACACGG
rnacentral:rRNA from 1 species